GGAUGAAGAAAUGAACAGACAGAUGGAGAAGCAGACAGGCUGCCAGACUGAAAAUUGCUCUAUUUUGUGCGGCUGCAAUCAACGCCCUUGUGGAUGACCCCAGGUGCCUAAUUCAAAAAUGCAUGCAGGGUUGUCACCGGCUGUACCGAGACUUGGAUCACACAGUUUGUCCUGGCAGAUAACCCUGACGCCAACCCCCAGCCCUGCUUUAUCCAUUCCUUUGCCUUGUCCUUCCCCCAGAACAUCAGGAAUCUCAAACACUGAACCCUUCACAGGUUCACACAAAACUGUUGGUUCCAUGUGUCAAGAUGAAUUGGCAGCACACAGAAAGAGGUGGAAUCUGACUGGUAAGAAAAGUUGUUUUGAGGUCAUUUGACAAUUUGAAAUAAUAAUGAUAAUUGUGCCCUGUGAUGGACUGGCGACCAGGGUCCUUUCGCCCAAUGUCAGCUGGGAUUGGCUCCAGCCCCCCGCGACCCUGUACGCAGGAUAAGCGGUUGACGAUGUAUGGAUGGAUGGAUGAAUGAUAACUGUUUUCCUAAUCCCAACAGUUUGAAGUAAAUUCCUCAUGCCGAGGUUUGUUAGGAAAGUUUUUGUUAAGAACUUUUGUUGGCUUAUGCUGUUGGCAAAUUAAACAUACAAAUAACUCUAUCUAUUAUAACUAUUUCAGUUUUUACAUGGUCAGAAUAGUUCUGGUUAUUACUCUGAUUGUGUUUUAGGGUAAUUAUUGACCUAAACUCAAUAAUCCAUGAAUUUGGGUUGAUCUCAUUAACCUGAUGUUAUUCUCUCUGUAAGCUGGACUCCAGCCUAUUAAACAGCCUACUUCUGAAUAUUGAAUAAUGAAUGAUGGAAAACACAGAUGACCUAAAGGUUAGAGGUAAUGUUGAUAUCGACUUCCACUUCAAUGAUUAACUCUCAUCAGAUUCUGCUACAAUUUAUUUCAUUUCAACUUUAUUAACUACCCUUAGGCUUUUCAUAAAUUAAUUUCUGUACUCAUAUAAGACAAAAUAAAUAAUAUGUCCGCUCAAAAUGAAGACUUCCAUACCCCUUUAUUGAUGACAUUCAAGCAUCACGUCUCAGAUGAUUUAGAGAGAGAGGAGUAUGCUGGACAAACACCAGUGAAGCAUUGUGUGUGGCAACAAAAGUGACCUCUAGCUCAGCUUGGUCGUUAAUGCAGCUGGAGUAAAACAACAGCCAGCUUUACUUGGAGGGGAGCAGGGCCUUGGUCUGGUCCACCACCUGCUGGAAGAUCUUCUCCAUCAUGUCGGUCAGAGGCUUGACCUGAGUGUUGAAGUUGUCAGUCAGAGGCUUGAUCUGUUCCUCAAUGUUGGCGAUGAGGGGCUGGACCUGCUCCUGCAGCUUGGCAGCCUCGGCCUGGACCUUCUUAACAAGAGGCUGGAUCUGGGCCUUGCUGUCCUCAAUGUAAGUCCUGUGGAAGGUAGAUGAAGCGACAUACUGCUGUUAAUCACUGCUGCUAACUCUGACUUGUAUUUUAAUAAAGAAAAAUUUACUAAAACUGCUUGACAAUUGACUUUUAAGGAGAAUUUUGACUAGUUGCUACUACACCAAGCCAUUCAGGGUGUAUACUGUAUGCUGUGUGUAUGUCUAGGUCACAAUAAUGUGAAUUUAACCUAAAAGAAACCAAACUAACCAUUUACUAUCCCAAGAGGUGGUUAGCCUUUGGCCUUUUUAGCCACUUUAUGUAUAAUUUUGUCAUCAUAAAUAUGACUUUUUCAUCUUGA